rnacentral:lncRNA from 1 species
GAAGCUAGAUAACUCUGGAUAUGCUGAAGGACUGAAGACUAUUUUGCGGUCGGAGAAAUUUCGGAAAAAAAGUUUUAUAUAUUUUUUUUCAAAGUGUCAAAGGUCAACUGGGUGUGCCAUGACACCUAAGCGUUGAGGAGUUGACACUAAGUGUUCAGUUUGAGAGUUCUUUAGGUUAUAGAAUCUCAAGUAAAGAAAAUGAGGUAGAGACACCACACGACCGGAGAGGAAAAACCGGAGGUCAACCUCGAGCCCUUAGACCGGUGCCAUUGCUCCACUUCGUUUGCUCGAGGAAUAGAUCUGACACUGAAUCUGACCUGAUCUGACCCAUAAAGAUAAGCUUUGCAUGGUUGAUAACGGCGAAAGAGUUCACCAAUGCAACGGCAGAGAGGCGGGAGAGGCCAAGCGCCCGCCCACAGAUGUUUGCUUCACCUGAUGAAUUUGUGGCGGCCAUGGGAUCAGACUGGAAAGCACGCAAGUUAAAACGUUUCUCUCAGUGACCUUCGGCUGGCCCCUCCUCCCCCUCCUCCCCUCCCACUAGCCCCCCUCCCCCCCCUCACUCGCCGACGCUGAAGAGGAAGAAGAAGCACUCAAGCAAACACACACUCAGCCACGCCCUUCCGACCUACUGCAGAGGCGAGGGAUGCUACGCUACCUGCCAGGGGUCUUUCUGCUCAGCAUAAUGAUGGGCAGCCGCUUGGCGAGAAGCCUGGACAACUGUCAAGGCGCCAGGUCCAUCGAGAUGCAAGGUCACCCUAUCUUGACCUCCAUCAUUCCGUGCUCCUAUAUAA